GACGAACGCUGGCGGCGUGCUUAACACAUGCAAGUCGAACGAUGAAGCCGGAGCUUGCUCCGGUGGAUUAGUGGCGAACGGGUGAGUAACACGUGAGCAAUCUGCCCUUGACUCUGGGAUAACUGCGGGAAACUGUAGCUAAUACCGGAUACGACACCUUGGGGCAUCCCAGGGUGUGGAAAGAAUUUCGGUCAAGGAUGAGCUCGCGGCCUAUCAGCUAGUUGGUGAGGUAAUGGCUCACCACGGCGACGACGGGUAGCCGGCCUGAGAGGGUGUCGGGCGAAGCCGGAACGUAGACACCGUCGAUAUUCCGACGGGAUGCAGCAGUGGGUAAUAUUGCCCAAUGGUCUAACGCUUCAUGCAGCAAUGCCGCGUGAGGGAUGAAGGCCUUCGGGUUGUAAACCUCUUGUAGCAGGGAAGAAGCGAAAGGGACGGUUCCUGCAGAAAAAGCACCGGGUAACUACGUGCCAGCCGCCGCCGUAA
rnacentral:rRNA from 1 species